UUGCUGUAAUGAGACACUCUCAGAUACAUGAAGUUCAGUUUAAUUGUCACUUGAGCACUGCUAAACGAGACAGGAGUCUUAAUAUGUCUAAUUCUGGAUCAAAAAGGGUAUUACUCAUCACUAAUAAUGUGGUAUUGAAAGUGUUAAUUUGGAUUUGGUUGAGGACUUCAUUCAGUUAGAAAUGAAAGCUGUGUCUAUAACUUGUUGCUUCUUUGGUUGGGAGGGGCCCAUGACAGAUAUCUGAACUUCUGUCUCAGUUUUGACUGUUUUUGCUGAUCUGUAAAGUCCCUCAAAUUAUAUAAUGACUCUUUUAACAAAAUAUUCCUCAUUUCAAGGGUCUGCAAAAUAUUUCUGCACAUGGUUUCUGUGUAGACAAAAAAGUAAGACUGACAGUGUUGCAGAGCGCGUCAGGAUGAGUGGCGUGUGAUUACAGUUUUGCCUGUGAAUGUAGUUUCUAAUUCUGGCAGUAGCAGCAGCAGCAGCUUCUCCGUGGUGGUCUCUCAUCUUAUUACGGUGCCUAAGGAAUUAUUACCUCUAAAUUAAUUGGGAGAGCUGAACAAUGCACUUCAGAGCAGACUGCUCUUGUGUCAUCCAUUAUGUAUGGGUCCUCUGACGGCUUUGAAGUGAUCAUCACACACUGCCGUAUUCUUCUCCUCGAGUUUUGUAAAGUCUCUAUUAUGGCCCGUGGCUGCGUCUCUGUCUCCGACACAUCAAGGUGAGCGGAGAGAGCGCUCUCCCCUUCAGCCGCAGCUAUUACAAUGUACGGACCUAAUUCAAUUUAAAACCACCACUAACAGAACAAGUUGAAGUUACUGAGAUUUAAUCACAGUCUGCUGCGCUGACAGCCCUGGCUGAACGCAACCAAUUAAUAGCAAGUAGAAUUAAUGGAUUAAUGGAGGGCUGAAAGAGCAAAAUGCUAAUUCCUGCCUGUUUCCCCUCAGUCUCAAACCUGCAUUUACAGCUUUUCAUUGUAAACCUCUGAAUGAGAAUGUAUUUGAGAUUUAGGUAUAAGCUUUUUAGUGUGCAUUAAAGCAUUUAGGCACGUAAAUCCCUAAGUAGAUGUAAUAAUUAACCCAGCAAUCCACAUUUAAAGCCCCCUACUGCAGUAAGGGACAAACAAAUAUAGUGGUGUUGUGAAAUCUUGUUUUUAACUGCAUAGUAACUAUUGGCACCAUGAUAUUUUAGUGGCCAAUGAAGCACAAUUUAAUAAGGCAAUGAGUGAAAGCCCAUAGAGAGUUUUAUCUGCUUGAUUUUCCCUUUAAAUUAGUUCGUAUUCCCCUUUUCCUCAUUUACUUGCUAUAUUACAACCAAAAAGAACAUCUAAUCUGGUUUACCACCUUUGACAGCUUCCCCAAAAGACCUAAAUCAAACUGUGACACUGAAGAUUGUCAAUUUAAAACCUUGCUUUUUGAGCCUCUGCGGGGAAAAGUACUUGCACACUCAGUGUUUCUCAUGCAGAUCUAUCCGAGGGAAUAUUGAGCUGUUAGCUGAUUCAUCACACCCCUGUCAAAUAACCUCUUACUUUAAGCAUCUCCUUCUUUAGUGUCUGUUUUGCAUUGCACGGUGGGAAACAAACAUCCCCCAACAUGAAACCCCGAAACAGAACAAUUUUAUUAUGCAGACUUGGUUGAAUUAUUAAUAAUUGGACUUGUUCCUCUCCAGCAUCAGCACACUUUGUAUUCAAAAACUUCUCAAAAUUACAUUUUGAUAUGGUCCAUGCAACACUGCUGCAACAGAGAAGAUCUCAGCAUGUGCACUGAGUUGCACCAUGUCUCACGCUUUUCACACCCUAGAUUUCCCCGGACAAAGUCUUUCGAAGAGGACACAGUACACCAGCCUUCCUGAACCUGUUUAUUAUCUCUGUGAAGCGACCUUGAUCUGUUGAUCUUUAUCUCAAGUCAUUCACAAAGCUCAAAAGGCCCAUUGAGUCAUGCCAGUCAUUUCAAUAUCGCAGUUCUCUUGUGGUCUACGCUGAGUUUUGGGACAAGCCCACAUAAUUGGAUUUUCUAACCUCAGUCUGUGGACACUGCCAGAGAGGUUUUGGGAAAUUAAAAUCUUCCUUGUGCACUGAAUCAAUAUAAAAAAAAAAACAAUCCCCACACACUCUUAAAAUGUGCUAGACAUGCACAGAAAAGCAAUUAACCCACUGCAGGAAUUGAUUUGGUCCACUUCAGCUUAUCUCUCUUGGCAUGGCCAGGCUGUUACAUUCCCGCUGGGAAGAUCAAAAGUUUUUUUUUUUUCUUGUUUCAAAACCUGACAACACAACGGGAUUAGCACUGAUUUUAUCUUCACCAAGCAAUUACCUGCUAUGGUAAUCAAUGCAGGACUGCGGUCUUUAAUAGUCUGUGGCAUUGCCUCCUUUGCAGGAUGUGCAAAUUACUGUGAUUCAUCACAGAACCAGGCUGCUCAGCCAGCGAUGCUAAGUAAUCAAUUAGCAUUAACUGUACCCACAGAAACACACACACACACACACGCACACACCUUCAUGUUGCUUUUCGCUACUAUUCUGGAUGCUUAAGUAGCUCUUUUUUUCCUGAUGGAGAGGUUAUUGGGAGUUCUCAUUAAAGAAAAAUCAGCCUAAAGCUAGAAAUGAAUAAGCUGUAAGACACAAGUUUCACAAGUUCUCUCUCAAAUGGCAGACUACCAGACCCAAAAACUCAAGCUGCCAACAGCAGUAAGACAUAGUGUUGAAGCUGCCACGUCCAAGACUCCAAGAAAUAAAUUAACAACUUCUAAAUUUGGCAUCAAAAUGUCAGUGUCUACAUCAGCCAUGUUCCCACAGCAGCAGUUUUCCUUUGACAUCACACUCUCUGUAGGAAAUUCAAACAAGCCUAUAUGUCUCUUCGUUGUGUUUAAGAUGUGAUUAAAAUUCAGGGUAAGCCUGUUAGGCAAACAAUGGUCAUAUCAUUGCUUCCUGGUUGAUCAACUUAAGUGAAUGAAGUGUGAAAAUCAAGAUGAAAUCGGUCCAUUUCUCUAGUUAAGACAACAUAUACCACAUCCAGUUCAAGUGUCAGCUUCUUCAGCUAAUAUCAGCCUUUGGUGUAAAGUGGCUGUAAACUGAUUAUUUCAUCUAGAAGUUUGCUAUACAACAGAAAAAAGCAUAAAUAAUGGGAAUCUGGAGUACCUGGGAAUAUACCUCAUAGCCUUAAGUUUUCCAAAAAGAAACCUAUCAACAAGAAGGUUUUAGCCUUGGAUCAUUAAACCAGUUCACGAUUAUUUUCAAUUCAGAUCAGCAAAUCCACAGACCAAUGAACAGGUUCCUACAGCAGGCGAUCGCCUUGGUGAAGAAAGCUGAUCAUUAUCCUCAUCUAGGCAUCCUGUAAGAGGAAAACUACAGUUAAAACUCCUGAUUGGUCUCUCCAUACUCAUAGGCUCUCUUACUUGCUUUGACCUGAGGCUCAUGAGAAGUAUUUUCUCAGUUGGUGGGCAUGUACAGUCACAGCAAUAUCCCCGAAUUUAAUUGGCUCCAGUUACACAGUCCUUCCCUUUAAUGACUGGACCAUGAUGAGAGUCACAAUGACUACAUCCCCAUUUAUUUGUAAGGACAGAGGCCUGUAUACAUUUACAUUUUCACACAAUAAAAAUUUGAAUUAUUUAUUGUUCUUCAAAGAGUGAAGAAAGGUGAAAAACAACCCUGAUCCAGGGCUUUGAGGCAAAGAUAAAUGAGGUUAACUUUGGUACAAGUGUUGUACUCCUGCAGGCUGCUGUUAAACACAGCGAUUGCUGUGUUUAACAGCAGGAGCUGAACGCUCACUGAUAUGAAUAUAAGUGAGCACAACUACACCAAGGACGCUUGCUAUCAGGAUGCACUUAUUUUCUAACACAUAAAUAGAAAUGAUGGAUUAUAAGAGUCCUGAGGUGAGAAUGAGCUGCUAAUAUGUUUGUGAUUUGUUAGAUAAUCUUAGACCGUAUUUCCCUACGUUCAUUAACAGGCAGGACUCGAAAUAAUAAAUGACUAUUUAAAAAACAAGUGGAGGUAACUGAGGCGUGAACUCGCUACAGAGCAAAAUAGACUGGAAAUGUAGGAGGACAAAUGUCUUUGUGAGGCUGGAGUAUUAGAAAAGACCUCUGAGUUAUUAGGUGGGGUUGGAGGUUAGAGAAACAGCCUCAGAGAAACUGAUUACAUCCAGGACAAGGGCUUCUGCUCCAAUGAGCUGCAAUGAACACAUCUGGCCAUUCCACCCUGUUCAAAUUUGCCCUAAAUCUUUUAUGCACGUGCACCAGCUCAUGGAGAAAAAAUCAAUGGCAAUUCCCACCUGUUCCUGUCUCCUGGCGACCCACGCCAGCCCUCGCCAGUGUAGCAUCUCACAUCCAGGGGUUUUUUAGACAAGCACACAGCAGCUGAGCAGUGCUGAGCAGGAAGGAGUGGAGACAGGAAGAGUCAAAACAGGAAAAGAUCUGUAUGUUUCUUUAUCUGACAGCCUAAAAAACUUUCAGGGGAAAUAGGAGGAGAGUUCAGAGAGCUGUGGGGCUCUUCCUCUUCUGGUGUCACAACAUUAGCUGUACUGGAUUGUUCAUGUGUCAAAGAUUACAAGUAACUCUUAGUUAGGGUUCACUUAAAAUUCACAGGAAACAGUGAUUUAUUUAGAUCAGUUUGAUGUUUAAUAUCAAACUUAUUAGCUUCAGUAUUUAUUCCUCACAAGGACUGCAGAAUUUAUAAGGAGGCAUUAACAUUCAGCCUGAAUGCUGAAAAAAGGAGAAAAAAAAAACAAAGUUAUGAAGAACUGAGGGGUUUAUGUAGUAAGAUUAAAAAGACAAAUUGGGUCUGCUUAAGUCUGAGUUUUCAGUGUCUCAAAGCCAACUCUCUUUUAACAAGUUUCAGCUUUAAAUAGACUGAAAAGUGCCACCCUUUUAGUCAUUAUUAAAUAAAAGUUUUAUCUUAUGGUUUGAAUCUGCUAAAAUAGCUAAAACAUUUGAAGUUGUCAGUAAUUUAAUGUGACUUCUAUUGAACCAAAUGUUACAUGUUUUGUAUUACUCAUGAAGUGCACUAAACACAGUUUUUGCCGGCUGCUAAAAACAUGUGCAUCAUUGUCUGAAGUUUAGAGUUUCACAGAUGACAAAAUAAUAUUCAGUUGGGAAAUACAAGUAUUAAAUUGCGAGAUAAUACAAUAACUUCCCAAAGGCUUUGUUUUGUGUACAACUUCUAGUUUUUACUUUUUUCCCUGCUUGUGCUGCAUGAUGUUUUGCCACUUGGUCUGUCCUGCUGGGAGGUGAUACUUGUAAUCUGUGCACCACCCAGUCACUAACCUUACCUCAAAGUAAUUUAAGUGAACAGAUGUCUGACACAACCAGUGGAGUACUGAACGAUGGACCUACAAGGCCAGAGCAAGGGCAGGCAGAGUUUCUUGUCGAGUGUAGGUGAACUAAAAAAGCAAAGAAUCCAAAGGGGAUGGCCAAAGGCAAGGUAAAAAAACAGGCAGUGGUCAAACACAGGAAAGACUCUGGAGUCAGGAAUGCUGGAACACACAAAAAACCGGCAAGGAGAGAGAAGACACCACACUGACAAACAGGAAAAGAAGAAAUAGUAAGUCCUAGGCUGACACACAAGUCAGGGUACACCAGGAGCAAGACUUUAAAACUACAGAGACAAAAAUUUAACAUGACAGCAUUAAAUAUAACAAACCAAAAGUACGACCCCUGUAACCCCUGUUCAAGUGUCAUUUUCUUUUUUCUUUAUUUUGUAAAGUAGCACCAUAUCCAUGUGAACAUGUGACCUUUUUCUCCUUUAGAUACACGUCAUAAAACAUCCCUCAUGUUAAAAGGUGCUGGUAAAUACCAACGAUGAUUUACCAAAGUGGAUUGAAGUUGGCUAUAUCUCAUGACUUUAGUGUCAUGAGGGUUAAAGAUGGGGAUUCACAGGGAGCAGAGUAAAGUACUGGAAAAACAUAGCAGGUUAGUUAAUACCUGAGGCCGAGUUGUGUUGCCAAAGUCGAAUUCAAGUUAUUUAUUUGUCAAACAGCCCAGAAAUUUGGUUGUAUGAUGUCCUGACAUGGCUGGCACAGGAGAGUGGCUUCAAAUGACUGGUUUGGAGUAAUGCACAUUACCAGAGCCAGUACACACUGAUUUCAUGUGUUUUAGUUUUCUUCAUAUCAUAUUAAACAUUAAACUUCACAGUCCCAUCCCUCCAAUCAGCAGAAGUUAAAGUACGUUUCUGGAAGUUAUUUUCUCCUUCAACACUUAAUCUGAGUUUUCCAUUCCUGAUCCUGAUUCAUUCCAGCAAUAUUAUGAAAAAUUAUUAAAACUAAGAUGUUGUUUCAUUGAUCAACCGAAACAAACCCAUACUGUCUUUUGAUCACGACCAACAAAUACUGAAAAAUAAGCACAUUUCCUGUCUAAAUUAUUUAGACCCUAUCCUUUAAUUCAGAUGUGAGGUGGUGUUAUCUCCUCACAUCUCCACACUUUCUUCUCAUUUGAUGCCUUCCAUGCCCUCAGACGUGAUGAAACUGUCUCCUCACUCUUUCUGGUGUGGGUGGAUUACAUCAGUAUUCUCCGUCCUCCUUUCCACAGCAGACAUGAGCUGACAUACAGACAGAUCUGUUUUAUUCUGAGUCCUGCACAACACAACAGGGAACAGAGUCUGGACCACAUCCUCCGUGCUAUAUGGUAAUCCGAGCAGAUUGUUGGAUAAACACAACCCAGACUAAAUCCAUAGCUCAACAUUUUCUUUGGUUCAAGCCCCGAGGGUGAGGGAUCAGCUGUGCAUUCAUCAGCAGCCCAAUUUGCUUCUUUAUGAGGCGGACGCUACUGAUAAGAGGCACUCAGGAUGCCCACUGGUUGUAUAGAAACACAUGAAUUUAUGUAAGAGCUGCUUUGUUAUAAUUGAGGUGCUGUUAGCCUCCAAACAUCUCUGGCUCUCAUGGUUAGACACAAAAUGAGUCUCUCGGCUGCUGUUAAAGAGGAAACUGUGUUAUUAUGAUUUGGUAAAUAUAUCAGGGGACGGUACCUUCAGUUCAUGGAAAACAAAGAUUCAAGAUUGGAUUAAUCAGAUUAAUGGUGCAGCAACACCAACCCACGCAUAGAUUGAACGGAAACACAGAUACCAGUGGUGGAAGAAGUUUACCCUUAGUCUAACACGUGCCUUACAUAUACAGAUUUACUGCAGUGAAAUAACCAACAAAGAGCAACAUAGUACAGGAUUAUCACUAUACAGAGACAAACUGCUGUUCUGCCUCUGUAAACCAUGCCAUAUAAUCAAUAAAGCAAAUAGGUUUGAUCAAUGUUCUGCAGAAAACAGUAGUCUAGCUUGCGUGCAGUUUCUCAUCAACUGGGCAAAGCUGACUGACAUUCAUUUGGUGCUCAACCAACAAGAGGUCUCGUUUGAGUAUGUAACAGUACUAUAUGGUGAUAGUUUUUGUUUUUAUUGCCAAAAAAUGAGAAAUACCCAAAAAACAUCCUGUUACAUUCUACUUUUUUGGUACCCUUCUGUCAGGGUACCAAGUGUGCCAAUUUGACCCUGAACUGCCAUGAUUGAGAGGGAGGAAGAGGAAGAAGCGCUCAUAGUGACUUAAACCUCUCCUAACCUGAUUUUCUUUCAUCCAUGAACUUACGUUUCUCAGGGAAUCAUGAGUCUGUUUUGUGGACCCUUUUAUUCAUAUCAGGAAAUGCUUUCAGCUGUAAAAAAAACUGUCAGGGGUUCAUUAAAAACGGUUGCUUAAUUCCCACACAGUCAUCAGCGGAGCAGUGAGAGGGGCACAGCGAUGGUGGCAGUCAAAAGACAAAAUAUUUCCUGUUAACAGGAUGUGAUUAAAUAAUUAAUAUGGUUUAUCUACAGCCAGCAUGAUUAAUGACAACUUCUCUCCCAGUGAGAGUUCACGCUGAGCUCAGAUAAA